rnacentral:rRNA from 1 species
UACCAGACUCCUACGGGAGGCAGCAGUGGGGAAUAUUGGGCAAUGGGCGCAAGCCUGACCCAGCAACGCCGCGUGAAGGAAGAAGGCUUUCGGGUUGUAAACUUCUUUUAAGAGGGAAGAGAAGAAGACGGUACCUCUUGAAUAAGCCCCGGCUAACUACGUGCCAGCAGCCGCGGUAAUACGUAGGGGGCAAGCGUUAUCCGGAUUUACUGGGUGUAAAGGGGGCGCAGACGGCGAUGCAAGCCAGGAGUGAAAGCCCGGGGCCCAACCCCGGGACUGCUCUUGGAACUGCGUGGCUGAAGUGCAGGAGGGGCAGGCGGAAUUCCUGGUGUAGCGGUGAAAUGCGUAGAUAUCAGGAGGAACACCGGUGGCGAAGGCGGCCUGCUGGACUGCAACUGACGUUGAGGCCCGAAAGCGUGGGGAGCAAACAGGAUUAGAUACCCUAGUAC